rnacentral:lncRNA from 1 species
AUUUAAUCUUAUGUUUUAGCUAGUUGAUAAUUUUUUUUUCCCGCUUUGGAGGCAUCACCAUUAUAUUCUUGUCUGUUACUACGUGCUUCCAACGUGGUAGACUCCCAAUAAACAUGAAACUGAAUCUCUUGUUAGGACUCGUAACUCUUUCUUGGUAUGAAAUUAAACUGGAGCAUGCGCGUUGACUGGGCUGCUCUGUCAUUCCAGGUUUCACAGCUGGGACUCUGCCACGCAGCGUUCGCUGGGUUUAGGUUCCGUUGGGCUGACGCAGCUUCUGGGUACCAAUACUUUCCGAAACAAUCCACUCGGAGCUCCAGAGACAGUAGCUCAAGCCUGCCGCGGCAGAACUUCCUGUAUUUCUACAGCACUUCCGCCCUGAGCCGGAAGCGUCUUCGCCGGAAGCGUUUUAGUGGGACUGCGCGCGAGGAGGGUCUGGCCGCGUGCAGAUCUGCAUUUGGAUUCCGGCUAUCUUAUAAUGAGUGACAGUUUACCAUCAGAUGUCAUUGGUCGAAGAGUUGAAGUUAAUGGAGAACAUGCAACCGUGUGUUUUUCUGGCCUUGUCCCUCCUGUGGCAGGUGAGUUAUGGUGCUCUGUGUUUAUAUAUGUGUGCAUUUUGCAGCAGGCUUCUCAAUAGUGCUUAUGUGGUACUGUGGAUUGAACCCAGGACCGAAUGCUCUAUCACUGAACUACAUUCCCAAGCUCUGUGUGUGUGUGUGUGUGUGUGUGUGUUUAUGUGUCUUUAGGAAUUGAACCUAAGGCUGUUGCACUGAAUUACAUCUGCAGAGUACUUUUUAAAUUUUUUGAGACAAGAUCUUAUUAAGUUGCCCUUGCUAGGCUCACACUUGUGAUUUUUAAAAAAUCUUUUUAUU